GAGGUGUGUGCUGGCUGGUGGUAGCCCGGGCAGCCCGCAGGCCGUGGCACAUCUGCCCCUGGGCUGGGCACUGGGCUGGGUGUUCGUGGUGACCCUGCCUGCUGUGGCAGCAGAGGGUGAGCAGUGAGAGGGAAGCCGAGCAGAACACACUGGCCUGUCCCUGCAGGACGGGUGUCUCCAUGGGUGCAGCCGGGGUGCCCACCAUGGUCCUGUGCUGGGCAGGGGUGUGGGAGGGUCCCUGCACCCCACGGCUUCACUGCACAGCUCCUGGGGGCACACCGAGUUGGGACUGAAAGCCAGGAAUUCCCUCUUCUUCCUCUUGUUGUGAUACAGAAAAGAUUUCACCAGUCCCGUCAAACAAGAAGAUCCAUUGGGGUAAUUAAAAACUACUCAUUUAAUACAAACGUCUGGUGUUACUGUAAACCGGCUGUUUUGUCCACAAAAACCUGACCAUGUUUUCAAUUAAGCCUUAUCCCCUUACUGAUGUUUUCAUAUUUGUGCUGCAUUUACAUAAAGUUUCCUGACAAAAUAUGUCUUUCCUCUCGCAUGUUUAUGUGUUUCAUGGUUCAGCACAUCUGUGGAAUUGUUUAGCUAUCAACAAAACUAACGCAAUACAAGAACUCUGAUCCUGCUGGGGCUUUCUCACCACUUGGAUAUUAUGUUGCAACUAUUCCUUCAGGUGGAGAAGACACACAUUGAUCAGGACAGAGUCACAUGUGAACAAACCAGCUGAACUGGGAAAAAACUUGCAGUGGCUCAAUACAUAACAGUUGAUGAAAAAUAUGGGAGCAUCCUGGGCUCAGGGGACAGCUGGCCUGGAACAGCCCACAUUUGCAUUAGUAAAUUCCUGGUCAAACAGGGUGUUUGCACUCAGAGCCUUAGUCUCAUCUACAGGCAUUAGCCAUGGCUUCACUGCUGGUGGCCUUUCGGGACCUCUGAGGUGUGUUUUACUCACAAAUCAUUGUUUAUUUUAAACUCUGUGCUGGUUGAAGCACAGCUUUGUGAGAAGAUAAGAAGUUCUUGGCAGCAAGUGUGCUGAAUUGCCUUUCUCUUUGAAAAGAGGUAGGCUGUUCACAGUGCUGUGUGGGAGGGGGAUGAGAGGCAAAGGACCUAAGUUGGAACAAACCAUGUUCAUGCUGAAUGUCAAACCCAGUUUUUGUAGCAAAGGGCAGUGGAAGAGGCUGGACUGAGGCUGAGCAGCCUCCAUGCUCAGAGGCUUGGAACAUCCAGCUGAGCAACGUGCUCUGACCACACAGUUGUCCCUGCACUGAGCAGGAGGGUGGACUGAGGUCCCUCCCAACCUGAAUUGUUGUCUGUGGAGCAGGGAGUGAUCCUCUGGGACUCACUGAGGCUCCCCUGACUGUGUGCUCGGGUCAGGGCAGUGUCACUGAGGGGACAGCUGUUCUGCAGCAUCAGCCCUGCAGAAUGCCCAGAAAUGGAGAGGAAGUAUGUGCAGAUUUAAAAUGUUAAAACCACAAGUAUAAUAAAUUCUCAUUUAAUGUCAGUGAGUUAAUGCUGAGAAGGUAAAACAGAACAUCAGAUGUUCUUAUUUUCCCCAAAGCCCAGCUAACUUCACAGACAGAGAUUAUCAUAGGAGCAGUUUUUGAAUAGCCCAUUUCAACAACAGGAUUUGUGGCUGGAUGUCAUUGUGGUAACAGUACUGCAGCUGCUCUUUCAACAGUUUGGCUCACACCUAUGCACUUCACCCAGCAGUUAAUACACAUGCUUUGAGUGGUGUGGUGAUCAACACACACAAUUUCCUGGGUGGGCUGCAAAUCCCUAAGUAUGUAUUUUUUCAAGUUGUUGAAGUUUCUGAACAUUUUUGCAUAAUUGUUGUUCUUACUCUCUUUGUCACCUUACGAUGUCUCAACACAAAUUAUUUGUUAGAAAGCCAAGAGCCAGGUGGAGUUCCUGGGGAAAAGGAACAACUAAAAAUACUUCUAUUCUGUAUUCAUUUAGUGGCAUUGUCUGAUACUGUAUUACACGAGAUUACUGAUCUAAUGGAGCUUGACAUUGUACAAGAACAUGAAGCAUGAGCCCAAACCUGCCCUAAGCUGUGACACCAGGCCCAGAAAGCACUGUGGAGCGAUAAUAUGCCAGUUAGAUGUGUCCCUUUGUGCUACUUGCAGGCAACGGAAGACAAGCCUUUCCAUCCUCCCUUCCAGAUUCACCCUCUGUAACAGUUAUGAAUGAGAGGCUGAAACUGUGAAUUACUCAGCCUGUUCAUCAAGAACAGCAGGGCCAAAUUCUUCCCCCUACCUGGCACGAAGCUUUAUUUAUGAACUUGGUGGGAGCUUCUGGACUGCUCAGAGUAUCCCAGUCCGCCUGGUGUCAUCUGAAAACAGUUGUCACUCUUCCCAUUCUGAGACAGUACUGAUGAAAGGCAGCAGUGCUCCCCUGGAGGGGCUAUGUAGCUAUUAAGUAGUAGCCUAAAUGUGAAAAAUAAACAAGUAAUAACAAGUUUUAACCACCAAUAGCACAGGCUAAAUAUGAAAGAUGAGGCAAAGGAAAUGUUAGUGUCUGGCUUUUCAGUCCUUCCCAUCAGGAUGAAAUUAAAUAUCUUUCUACUAAAAGAAGGCCUACCCAAAGACUGCUGAAAUCAGUGGAAAGACAUCCACUGCAGAGGGUUUCUAGAAAGGCCCACCAUUCUGAAGACAAUUGGCUCACACACAGCCAUUCCUUCCUGAUGGAUAUUUGCAGCUGGGGCUAAUAAUAGUAUUUAAUGUUCUUUCUAAUAAAUCUCUUGUCAUAUG